rnacentral:rRNA from 1 species
AUGAACGCUGGCGGCGUGCCUAAUACAUGCCAGUCGAGCGAACAGACGAGGAGCUUGCUCCCCUGACGUUAGCGGCGGACGGGUGAGUAACACGUGGAUAACCUACCUAUAAGACUGGGAUAACUUCGGGAAACCGGAGCUAAUACCGGAUAAUAUAUUGAACCGCAUGGUUCAAUAGUGAAAGACGGUUUUGCUGUCACUUAUAGAUGGAUCCGCGCCGCAUUAGCUAGUUGGUAAGGUAACGGCUUACCAAGGCAACGAUGCGUAGCCGACCUGAGAGGGUGAUCGGCCACACUGAAACUGAAAAACGGUACAGACUCCUACGGGAGGCAGCAGUAGGGAAUCUUCCGCAAUGGGCGAGAGCUUGACGAAGCAACGCCGCGUGAGUGAUGAAGGUCUUCGGAUCGUAAAACUCUGUUAUUAGGGAAGAACAAAUGUGUAAGUAACUAUGCACGUCUUGACGGUACCUAAUCAGAAAGCCACGGCUAACUACGUG